GGCAACGGCCAUACCACGUGAAAACACCGGUUCUCGUCUGAUCACGAAGUUAAGCAACGUUGGGUUUGGUUAGUACUUGGAUGGGUGACCGCUGGAAUACCAAAUGCUGUUGUCU
rnacentral:rRNA from 1 species